rnacentral:rRNA from 1 species
CAGGCCUAACACAUGCAAGUCGAACGGAGUAGCAAUACUUAGUGGCAAACGGGUGCGUAACGCGUAAGCAACCUGCCCCAAACUGGGGGAUAGCCCGGCGAAAGCUGGGGUAAACCCGCACGGUCCUUUCGAAUCACCUGGUUUGGAAGGUAAACAUUAAUGGGUUUGGGAGGGGCUUGCGUCUGAUUAGCUAGUUGGUGGGGUAAGGGCCCACCAAGGCGAUGAUCAGUAGGGGUUCUGAGAGGAUUGGCCCCCACAUGGGUACUGAGAUACGGACCCAACUCCUACGGGAGGCAGCAGUAGGGAAUAUUGGGCAAUGGGCGAGAGCCUGACCCAGCCAUGCCGCGUGAAGGAUGAAGGCGCUCAGCGUUGUAAACUUCUUUUACUCAUGAAGAACGGCAGGCCUGCGGGCUUGUGUGACGGUAAUGAGGGAAUCAGCACCGGCUAACUCCGUGCCAGCAGCCGCGGUAAU